rnacentral:rRNA from 1 species
GAUGAACGCUGGCGGCGUGCCUAACACAUGCAAGUCGAGCGAGGGUUUGCUCAGUAUUGAGUAUUCUAAGACUAGAAUGUUCAAUUCUGAGCAAAACCAAGCGGCGGACGGGUGAGUAACGCGUGGGUAACCUGCCCUAUACACAUGGAUAACAUACUGAAAAGUUUACUAAUACACGAUAAUAUAUAUUUGCGGCAUCGCAGAUAUAUCAAAGUGUUAGCGGUAUAGGAUGGACCCGCGUCUGAUUAGCUAGUUGGUGAGAUAACUGCCCACCAAGGCGACGAUCAGUAGCCGACCUGAGAGGGUGAUCGGCCACAUUGGAACUGAGACACGGUCCAAACUCCUACGGGAGGCAGCAGUGGGGAAUAUUGCACAAUGGGCGAAAGCCUGAUGCAGCAACGCCGCGUGAACGAUGAAGGUCUUCGGAUCGUAAAGUUCUGUUGCAGGGGAAGAUAAUGACGGUACCCUGUGAGGAAGCCCCGGCUAACUACGUGCCAGCAGCCGCGGUAAUACGUAGGGGGCUAGCGUUAUCCGGAUUUACUGGGCGUAAAGGGUGCGUAGGUGGUCCUUCAAGUCGGUGGUUAAAGGCUACGGCUCAACCGUAGUAAGCCGCCGAAACUGGAGGACUUGAGUGCAGGAGAGGAAAGUGGAAUUCCCAGUGUAGCGGUGAAAUGCGUAGAUAUUGGGAGGAACACCAGUAGCGAAGGCGGCUUUCUGGACUGCAACUGACACUGAGGCACGAAAGCGUGGGUAGCAAACAGG